UACGUAGGUGGCAAGCGUUGUCCGGAUUUACUGGGCGUAAAGAGCGCGCAGGCGGUCCGGUAAGUCCGCUGUGAAAGUCGGGGGCUCAACCCUCGAAUGCCGGUGGAUACUGUCGGGCUAGAGUGCGGAAGAGGCGAGUGGAAUUCCUGGUGUAGCGGUGAAAUGCGCAGAUAUCAGGAGGAACACCGAUUGCGAAGGCAGCUCGCUGGGACGUAACUGACGCUGAGACGCGAAAGCGUGGGGAGCAAACAGG
rnacentral:rRNA from 1 species